rnacentral:RNase_P_RNA from 1 species
ACGGAGGGAGAUGGGGUCGCGGGUCGGCCGGGCACCGCGCGUAGCGUGGUCCGCACGGCGCGGCUCGAGGAAAGUCCGGGCUCCACAGGGUACGGUGCCGGGGAAACCCCGGGCGUCGAGAGGCGACGGACAGUGUCACAGAGAACAGACCGCCGAUGGCGGCGCGCUCGGGCCCAAGGCUCCGACCGCCGCACAGGCAAGGGUGAAACGGUGGGGUAAGAGCCCACCGCGCGAGCCGGUGACGGCCGCGGCACGACAAACCCCACCGGGAGCAAGGCCGAGCAGGGGCGAGUGGCGACCCGCCGCAUCGAGCCCCGGGUAGGCCGCACGAGCCACCGGGAGACCGGCGGCCCAGACAGAUGACCCCCCGGACCUUCGGGUCCGUUACAGAACCCGGCUUAUCUCCCUCCUUCGAC